rnacentral:rRNA from 1 species
AGAGUUUGAUCCUGGCUCAGAUUGAACGCUGGCGGCAGGCUUAACACAUGCAAGUCGAGCGGAUGAAAGUAGCUUGCUACUGAAUUUAGCGGCGGACGGGUGAGUAAUGCUUAGGAAUCUACCUAUUAAUGGGGGACAACAGUUGGAAACGGCUGCUAAUACCGCAUACGCCCUACGGGGGAAAGCAGGGGAUCUUCGGACCUUGCGUUAAUAGAUGAGCCUAAGUCAGAUUAGCUAGUUGGUGGGGUAAAGGCCUACCAAGGCGACGAUCUGUAGCGGGUCUGAGAGGAUGAUCCGCCACACUGGGACUGAGACACGGCCCAGACUCCUACGGGAGGCAGCAGUGGGGAAUAUUGGACAAUGGGGGGAACCCUGAUCCAGCCAUGCCGCGUGUGUGAAGAAGGCCUUUUGGUUGUAAAGCACUUUAAGCGAGGAGGAGGCUCCCUAGAUUAAUACUCUAGGUGAGUGGACGUUACUCGCAGAAUAAGCACCGGCUAACUCUGUGCCAGCAGCCGCGGUAAUA